GUGGGGAAUAUUGGACAAUGGGGGGAACCCUGAUCCAGCCAUGCCGCGUGUGUGAAGAAGGCCUUUUGGUUGUAAAGCACUUUAAGCGAGGAGGAGGCUACCGAGAUUAAUACUCUUGGAUAGUGGACGUUACUCGCAGAAUAAGCACCGGCUAACUCUGUGCCAGCAGCCGCGGUAAUACAGAGGGUGCAAGCGUUAAUCGGAUUUACUGGGCGUAAAGCGCGCGUAGGUGGCCAAUUAAGUCAAAUGUGAAAUCCCCGAGCUUAACUUGGGAAUUGCAUUCGAUACUGGUUGGCUAGAGUAUGGGAGAGGAUGGUAGAAUUCCAGGUGUAGCGGUGAAAUGCGUAGAGAUCUGAGGAAUACCGAUGGCGAAGGCAGCCAUCUGGCCUAAUACUGACACUGAGGUGCGAAAGCAUGGGGAGCAAACAGGAUUAGAUACCCCAGUAGUCC
rnacentral:rRNA from 1 species